AGUGAACGCUGGCGGUAGGCCUAACACAUGCAAGUCGAACGGCAGCACAGUAAGAGCUUGCUCUUACGGGUGGCGAGUGGCGGACGGGUGAGGAAUACAUCGGAAUCUACUUUUUCGUGGGGGAUAACGUAGGGAAACUUACGCUAAUACCGCAUACGACCUACGGGUGAAAGCAGGGGAUCUUCGGACCUUGCGCGAUUGAAUGAGCCGAUGUCGGAUUAGCUAGUUGGCGGGGUAAAGGCCCACCAAGGCGCCGAUCCGUAGCUGGUCUGAGAGGAUGAUCAGCCACACUGGAACUGAGACACGGUCCAGACUCCUACGGGAGGCAGCAGUGGGGAAUAUUGGACAAUGGGCGCAAGCCUGAUCCAGCCAUACCGCGUGGGUGAAGAAGGCCUUCGGGUCGUAAAGCCCUUUUGUUGGGAAAGAAAAGCAGCAGGUUAAUACCCCGCUGUGCUGACGGUACCCAAAGAAUAAGCACCGGCUAACUUCGUG
rnacentral:rRNA from 1 species